AUUGAACGCUGGCGGCAGGCUUAACACAUGCAGGUCGAGCGGUAACAGAGAGAAGCUUGCUUCUCUGCUGACGAGCGGCGGACGGGUGAGUAAUGCCUAGGAAUCUGCCUAGUAGUGGGGGAUAACUUGCCGAAAGGUAAGCUAAUACCGCAUACGUCCUACGGGAGAAAGGAGGGGACCUUCGGGCCUUUCGCUAUUAGAUGAGCCUAGGUCGGAUUAGUUAGUCGGUGAGGUAAUGGCUCACCAAGACCGCGAUCCGUAACUGGUCUGAGAGGAUGAUCAGUCACACUGGAACUGAGACACGGUCCAGACUCCUACGGGAGGCAGCAGUGGGGAAUAUUGGACAAUGGGGGGAACCCUGAUCCAGCCAUGCCGCGUGUGUGAAGAAGGUCUUAGGAUUGUAAAGCACUUUAAGUUGGGAGGAAGAGCAGUUAACUAAUAUUUGACUGUUUUGACGUUACCGACAGAAUAAGCACCGGCUAACUUCGUGCCAGCCGCCGCAGUAA
rnacentral:rRNA from 1 species